UAGAAUCGUUGGGAGACACGAUGAAUGGU
rnacentral:sRNA from 1 species